rnacentral:rRNA from 1 species
GACGAACGCUGGCGGCGUGCUUAACACAUGCAAGUCGAACGGAAAGGCCCCCAUCUUGGUGGGGGUGCUCGAGUGGCGAACGGGUGAGUAACACGUGGGUGAUCUGCCCUGUACUUCGGGAUAAGCUUGGGAAACUGGGUCUAAUACCGGAUAGGACCAUGGUUUAGUGUCUCAUGGUGGAAAGAUUAUUGUUUUGGUGCAGGAUGAGCUCGCGGCCUAUCAGCUUGUUGGUGGGGUAAUGGCCUACCAAGGCGUCGACGGGUAGCCGGCCUGAGAGGGUGGACGGCCACAUUGGGACUGAGAUACGGCCCAGACUCCUACGGGAGGCAGCAGUGGGGAAUAUUGCACAAUGGGCGCAAGCCUGAUGCAGCGACGCCGCGUGGGGGAUGACGGCCGUCGGGUUGUAAACUCCUUUCGUUAGGGACGAAGCCGCACUUUUUUUGGGUGUGGUGACGGUACCUUUGUGAAGAAGCACCGGCUAACUACGUG